CCCAGACCUUCAUUUGUCUGUUUCCCCAAAUCUUCAUUCCAGGUGCGUUAUCCCACCCAGAGUGAACUGUAAUCGGACAGGCAAUAAGGAGUAGUUGGAGGCAAACGGUCGUAGGAGUUUCCUGAUUCUCCACCCGCUUCAAUAGAAGCCCAACCUUACGCUGGCAUUGCGACAUAAACAUACGGCAUGACGUCAUGAAGCAUAGCUGCGCUGAGUUUGGGGGGGCAGCCGGAGCUGCUGCGGCCUGCGAUGGCCAGAAGAGACAAGGUAAUGGAACUGAGCAGAAGAGAAGGUGAUUAAAUAACUCGGAGAAAGUUAAUUAGACUGAGGAAGAAUUUGGGGGAAUUGCGUGUUUUAAAAACAGCAAUAAAUUCCACUGGAGAGUAGGUGAUUGUCUGGAAUAGGGUUGCCAGGUGCAGACGCCUCAAGAAUCUUUAAGAAUUGGCUAGGAGGGAGAAUUUAUCCAGGCGCAGCUUCUCCUGCUACAAAGCGCUACAGUGACAGGAAAACUUACACCAGUUCUUCAUUCUAUGACCCUCUUAAAGAUACAGAUGCUCUCCCAACUCAGGAUCACCUGGUAAUCAGAGCUUAAAGAGAGGGAUGGGUCCAUAUAUUCGUGAACCCGCGUGAGAAUCUCGCGUGGGGGAGUUCGAUUGCUAAACAGCAGCUGCUUUGUGACUUUUGCUACGGGCUCCCCAGCAAGAUAGGGGCUUUGCCAGAAUCCUUUCCGCCUUUCUUUUGCGAGCCUGCUGCGUAAGACUUAUCAUCCGAAGCAUUCUCCCCACGUCCCUUCAUCUCACCGACAAAGCAAGUUCCUCGAUCUGUGCCUGACACACAAGCGGGGCUCCACAAACAAGCCGGGAACUUCAUUUUGCCACAUCGCUCCUCUCUUUGGAAAUAGACAUUUAGGAAAAUGGGAGGCUCGCAGUCGCAACUAAAACCCAAGAGCCAAAGGAAGGAAGGAAGGAAGAAACGCCCAGCCAUCUGAGCAUACCAGACAACUGUUAUGCGGGCAUCUCUACAGGAAAAUAAUAACUGUACUUCAGCCUAGAGAAGUACAGUUAGUAACAGUUUCUCUCUCUCUCUCUCUCUCUCUCUCUCUCUCUCUCUCUCUCUCACACACACACACACACACACACGCGCGCGCGCGCGCGCGCGCCGCCUGGCUCCUUAAAGGGAUCUGGCUACAUCCAAAGACCGAUCUCUAAAGUGAAAGCUCAAUUUCUUUAAUUCGAAAUACUGAUAACUGAGGAGCAAAUCCUAAAUCUGGGAAUACUGAGUGAGCCGUUUUUUAAAAGUGGCUGUGGCACCAGGAUCUGAACUGCGUUUACUUGGGUGAGCGAGCCCUACUCGGCCUGCCGCACAGAACUCUAGAGUGCUUAUCACCACCGGGAGGAUUCAGCUAAAGCAAAACGAAAAGCCGAUGUAGUUCUGAGUCCCUUGGGUCUUCGGUGGCUCCUCUCUAGAGGCAGGUUCUCCUGGGCGAAGCCAGCAAGCGGAAAUCAGCCCUCCAGGGUAAGACGGCGGGCUUCACUCCUCCGGAGUCCUGUUGAACUCUCCAGAAUCUCCUUGAGAUAAGGCUUUUGUUGCAUGCAAGGCAGAAGGGGAAAGGCGUCUUUCUUGGAAGUGAGUUGGGUUCUGGAAGAAUGGCUUAUGAAGAAUCCAUUUAUAGGACGGGUCAGAAUCAGGAAGCUAUUCUGGAAUAAAGUGGGGCGUAGCAGUAAGCUUGCAGUGACUCUGAGUUAUUCAUUUUGAACCACAGAAGACUCGCCGUUAAAGAGGACUGCGCGCACAGCGGGAGGUUCCGAAACAAUCCCUUUUUAACUCGGGCUUGGAAGCAGGAAACGAGACUGAGCCAACGAUCUCGAAGCUUUUCAUUAAUUUCCAUGAGAUUCUCUAAAAUUUCUUUAAAAGGCAAAGUAUUUGCGUGGGGCAGGGGUGUGUAGGAGGAGGAAAGUCUCCUUUGCGUGGAUCCAAACAGUGUUAUCUGUUCUCUUCCAGCUGCGUUCCUAACCCUUCAGGAACGGAAAGAGUUAAGCGUUUCCGCAUGCAAAUGAAGCCAGGGUUGGCAGCCACGUGUGCCGCUAGCGAGGGGGAGGGAAGCGAACGCCGAUCGCUCGCCGCGCUCUCUGCCUCUGCAGCAGUCCGCUGGGACAAUGAGGGGCAGAGCAGCUGAGUAGCAGGGAAGAGCUGCGAAUCCCUUACUUCUCGCAGUGAAUAAGGCAAGGUUUUUUAACCCGAGCAACGCCUGACUAAAAAGGGGAGACGCUGCCCUGCCUACCCCGGCAACAAAGCCUCCUUUUACUUUUGUUGUCAGAGACAGACAGACAGCCGUAACAAUUGCAGGAGAAUCCCUCAGCCAAUUCGUGGAGAUGAAAUGAAAGAAAUAUAGGUUAUACCUAACUGGGGGAGUUCACACGUGCAGGAUCUUCCUACUCCGCUACUGCAACAUCCGGGUGAUCAUGUGUUCAUAUGUGCGAAACAGCCAUAGCAGAUAAAACACCAGGCCACUACUUUCGUGUCUCCUGAUACCGCCUUAGACUCAAUAGUUUUAACCCCCGCUGAGGUCAUUCCCACGUUCAGCUAGAAAUAAUAUGAUAAUUACACAUCCAUCCUCAAGGAUACACAGAUGAACUAGCUCUAAGAACCCAUGACAGAGAUGUUAUGGAAAGCAGUUCAGAAAUCUCCCCACUUCAGAUUUCUUACUCUUUGGUUUGAUGACUUGAUCCCUUCCAAAAUCAAGGUACAUCGAGUACCUGCAAGGUUUGCCUGCUUUCCCGAAAAUCUCUGAACACCCCCCCCCAGCUGAGAUAGAGCAGGUAGCUACAAAAGGAAAGGCUUUCUCACCAAUGACCCCACAUUUUUGGAAAAUCCUUCCAAGUGAGACUCACCUGGCGCCUACUUUAAUGUUUUGUUUUUCCAGUGAUGGCCAAAAUAAUUUUUAUUCUUCCUGGCUUGAUCCCUAUUCUGCUUUUAAUGUUUGUGUUUUAAAGUGCAAUCCAGUACAUGACUAGUCAGAGGUAAGCUCCAUUGGGUUCAAUGGGACUUACUUCCAGGUAAGUGUGUACUGGAUUGCAGCAUAACUCUGUGCUUUUUAAGGCUGAACACUAAUGUGGGUUUUUUAGCCUUCUUUUAUCAUUGUCUUAGUGCUCCUUUUACACCGCAUUGAUUGGUUUUGUGAUUUUUAUCUUGGGUUUAAUACUCCUUUGUAUAACACCCAAAGAACAGUAUAUCAUUUAUUUAUUUAUUAUAGUUAUAUCCUACCUUUCUUUCACCAUAGAACCCAAGGCGGCAUACAUGUUCCCAGGUGGUCUCCCAUCCUGGCACUGACCAAACCCAAACCUGCUUAGCUUCAGCAAGUUGGUGGCCUCAUGUGCCUUCAGACCAUAUCAUCCAGAGAACAGUUAUUGGGGGAGUCUAAUAAAUAUAGCAGUCUUUCUUGGUUGGCAAGCUGGUUUUUCUGCACAGGUAUCCCAUUGCUACCAUCACAUCUGGCCUGCAUGCAUUCAGGGAUGCUACUGUCACAUGAAGAUCUGAUAACAAGGAAAAACAAAGUUGUGUGUUUGUGUGUGUAUUGAUGACUCAACAAUCCAACUCACCAGAGGACUUUGCCCAACAGGUUCAUGAGUAUGUUUAAUGACACGGGAAACAAUAUUGAUCUGUAUUUGACCCUAAGAACUACACGAAAGCAGUUGGUUUGGGGCAUCAUUAAAAAGUAGCAAAUUGCCUGGUAUUGAAUUAAUAUGUUUUUAACAACUAAAACUGCAAUCUUAUGCACAUAAGACCUUAUGGGAAUAAGCCUUCUUGAACAUGUGUCCCAAGAAAACAUAGAUAGGAUUGUCUUGGAGGUUAUAGAAAGUGAUAGAGUAUAGGCACCCUCUGACUCUGUUCUGUAAAAUGUAGCAGUUUGUAUCAUAAUCUGAUUUUUGAUGAGUUAAGGUAACGUAGAAGAAGUGCACAUUCAUAGUUCACUUUGUCUUACAAGAGCAACAUAUGAUUUUUUAUGUGCACUGUUGGUUUUGUGGAGGGCUAACACCAUUUGAAUUUUUUUUGUCCUAGGCAUGGUAGGCUGGAUCAUAUUCCAUUUUGGGGGUGGUAUCCAAUUAUAGCACGCUGCUCAUGAAAACGAGUUAGGAGACCCUCUGGAGCAGAUUGGGGAGGUGCUGCAGGAGGAAGGGGAAUUUUGUCUCACCCACCAGUGUGAUGCUGGAUCUUGCCCUAGCGUUUCUACAAUAUAGGAUAUUCUGUGAAGCUCUGGUAUAUUGCAACAUAAGUGAGGAUCUUUUAAACAUAAGAGAUAAUUUCUGACACCCCAAGCCAUAAUGUAGAUGCUGUCAAACACAUUUUAUUUAUAUUGAAGAGAAAACAUAUGUGUUUGUGAAGGGGGUGCUAUUAUUAAAUCAGCAAAUCGCAUUGAUCUAGAAGACUUAAAACAGGAAAGAACCAGCAGUCGAAGGCUUGUCUGUAUCAAGGAGGACAAUCACUUUAACUGCGAUCAGAGCAGGAACCGCAGUGCUGGCUUAGCUUGCAAGGAAAGGGCUUGCUGGGUAUCGCCAUUUGUAUAUACCUCUGGCUAGGAGCCGAACAAAGACCCUGCCUCUGUACUGUCACAGAGCUGAGCCAAUAAAAAGCAAACUGAUAUUACAAUUUUGAUUUCCCUGGGGGCCUGAAGGGGCUUAAUGUAAGAAUUAUUAUCCAUUGUGAAUAGCGGCUGAUAUAGAG